CAAUAAAAAUCCCAAACAUUAUU
rnacentral:snRNA from 1 species